rnacentral:rRNA from 1 species
UACGGAAGGUCCGGGCGUUAUCCGGAUUUAUUGGGUUUAAAGGGAGCGCAGGCUGGCGAUUAAGCGUGACGUGAAAUGCCGCGGCUCAGCCGUGGAAGUGCGUCGCGAACUGGUCGUCUUGGGUGGGUUCGACGCCGGCGGAAUUCGUGGUGUAGCGGUGGAAUGCUUAGAUAUCACGAAGAACCCCGAUUGCGAAGGCAGCCGGCGAGGCCCCAACUGACGCUAAAGCUCAAAGGUGCGGGUAUCGAAC